GACGAACGCUGGCGGCAUGCCUAAUACAUGCAAGUCGAGCGAACGGAUGAAGUGCUUGCACUUCUGACGUUAGCGGCGAACGGGUGAGUAACACGUAAGGAAUCUACCUAUAAGCGGGGGAUAACAUUCGGAAACGGGUGCUAAUACCGCAUAAUAACUUCUUCCGCAUGGAAGAAGAUUGAAAGACGGCUCUGCUGUCACUUAUAGAUGACCUUGCGGUGCAUUAGUUAGUUGGUGGGGUAAUGGCCUACCAAGACGAUGAUGCAUAGCCGACCUGAGAGGGUGAUCGGCCACAUUGGGACUGAGACACGGCCCAAACCCCUACGGGAGGCAGCAGUAGGGAAUCUUCCGCAAUGGGCGAAAGCCUGACGGAGCAAUGCCGCGUGAGUGAAGAAGGCCUUCGGGUCGUAAAACUCUGUUAUAAGAGAAGAACAAAUUGUAGAGUAACUGCUACAGUCUUGACGGUAUCUUAUCAGAAAGCCACGGCUAACUACGUGCCAGCCGCCGCCGUAA
rnacentral:rRNA from 1 species